rnacentral:rRNA from 1 species
ACAUCCAAGGAAGGCAGCAGGCGCGUAAAUUACCCAAUCCUGACACAGGGAGGUAGUGACAAUAAAUAACAAUGCCGGGCCUUUGUAGGUCUGGCAAUUGGAAUGAGAACAAUUUAAACCCCUUAUCGAGUAUCAAUUGGAGGGCAAGUCUGGUGCCAGCAGCCGCGGUAAUUCCAGCUCCAAUAGCGUAUAUUAAAGUUGUUGCAGUUAAAAAGCUCGUAGUUGGAUUUGUGGCUGUCUCGAGCGGCCUAGCACCUAGUGUUAGUGCCUGCUUGGGUCGCCAUCCUUGGGUGGAGCCUGUGUGGCAUUAGGUUGUCGUGCAGGGGAUGCCCAUCGUUUACUGUGAGAAAAUUAGAGUGUUCAAAGCAGGCUUAUGCCGUUGAAUAUGUUAGCAUGGAAUAAUAAGAUAGGACCUCGGUACUAU